AUUGAACGCUGGCGGCAUGCCUUACACUGCAAGUCGAACGGUAACAGGUCUUCGGAUGCUGACGAGUGGCGAACGGGUGAGUAAUACAUCGGAACGUGCCUAGUAGUGGGGGAUAACUACUCGAAAGAGUGGCUAAUACCGCAUGAGAUCUACGGAUGAAAGCAGGGGACCGCAAGACCUUGUGCUACUAGAGCGGCCGAUGGCGGAUUAGGUAGUUGGUGGGAUAAAAGCUUACCAAGCCGACGAUCUGUAGCUGGUCUGAGAGGACGAUCAGCCACACUGGGACUGGGACACGGCCCAGACUCCUACGGGAGGCAGCAGUGGGGAAUUUUGGACAAUGGGCGAAAGCCUGAUGCAGCAAUGCCGCGUGCAGGAUGAAGGCCUUCGGGUUGUAAACUGCUUUUGUGCGGAACGAAAAGCCCCGGGUUAAUACCCUGGGGUCAUGACGGUACCGUAAGAAUAAGCACCGGCUAACUACGUGCCAGCAGCCGCCGUAA
rnacentral:rRNA from 1 species